rnacentral:rRNA from 1 species
GACGAACGCUGGCGGCGUGCUUAACACAUGCAAGUCGAACGCUGAAGCUCAGCCUUUGUUGGGUGGAUGAGUGGCGAACGGGUGAGUAACACGUGAGUAACCUGCCUCCUUCUUUGGGAUAACGCCCGGAAACGGGUGCUAAUACCGGAUAUUCACUGGUCUUCGCAUGGGGGUUGGUGGAAAGGGUUUUUCUGGUGGGGGAUGGGCUCGCGGCCUAUCAGCUUGUUGGUGGGGUGAUGGCCUACCAAGGCUUUGACGGGUAGCCGGCCUGAGAGGGUGACCGGUCACAUUGGGACUGAGAUACGGCCCAGACUCCUACGGGAGGCAGCAGUGGGGAAUAUUGCACAAUGGGCGCAAGCCUGAUGCAGCGACGCCGCGUGAGGGAUGGAGGCCUUCGGGUUGUGAACCUCUUUCGCUCAUGGUCAAGCCGCAACAAUGGUUGUGGUGAGGGUAGUGGGUAAAGAAGCGCCGGCUAACUACGUG